AGAGAAAAAGAUACAGAGAGAGAUAGAGUGACAGACAGACAGACAAAGAGAAAGAGAGACAGACAGAGGAGAUACUAUUAUUGGGUGAAGAAAAUAGUUGUGGAAUUUCCAACAGUUUAUUCAGAGAAUUGGUUCCAAUCAUUCCAAGAGAAUUAAGAAAUGCAUGUGUUCAACGGAAUAUUCCUCUGGCUUCUGCUUGCCUCUUCUUUGUUAAUCUACUGUCAUAGCUACGUAUUUAUUGUGACUGUUCCAAAGUUAUCUCCAACACGUAAAGAACCGCCCUCUUGUACCCUGUAUUUGAAGAAAUGUCACCCAGAUCGAGAUACUUGCUGUCCUGGACUCCAAUGCACCAAUAUUCUCUACAGUUAUUGUCUCUAUCCCUUCGAGACCUGUUACUGUAUGACCAAAUCUUACUACUAUACGGAAAAUAAAUAAUACUGCCAUUCUCACAUUUCAACCAAUCCGUUCCGUUUCUAAUGCCAAGGAUCAAAGCACCUUCCUUCUUCUUCUUCUUCUUCUUCUUUUCUUUCUUCCUUCACCAUGUGAAGCCCAGACUAUUCCUUUCGAGUGUCAUUCCUGUCUGACAUUUCUAGAAAGUCUGCGAAAUAAUGUUGUAAGUUUUGAAAUCAAAUAAAAUGGCUUCGGUUAUCGUUAUUGCAGCA
rnacentral:lncRNA from 1 species